UACGGGGGGGGCAAGCGUUGUUCGGAAUUACUGGGCGUAAAGGGCGCGUAGGCGGCCAUCUAAGUCAGACGUGAAAUCCCCCGGCUUAACCUGGGAACUGCGUCUGAUACUGGACGGCUGGAGUUUGGGAGAGGGAUGUAGAAUUCCAGGUGUAGCGGUGAAAUGCGUAGAUAUCUGGAGGAAUACCGGUGGCGAAGGCGGCAUCCUGGACCAAUACUGACGCUGAGGCGCGAAAGAUAGGGGAGCAAACGGG
rnacentral:rRNA from 1 species